UACGUAGGCAGCAAGCGUUGUUCGGAAUUACUGGGCGUAAAGGGUGCGUAGGCGGCUCUAUAAGUCUGGUGUGAAAUCUCCCGGCUUAACUGGGAGGGUGCGCUAUAGACUGUGGGGCUAGAGUGUGGGAGAGGAAAGUGGAAUUCCUGGUGUAGCGGUGAAAUGCGUAGAUAUCAGGAGGAACACCGGUGGUGUAAACGGCUUUCUGGACCAUAACUGACGCUGAGGCACGAAAGCGUGGGUAGCAAACAGG
rnacentral:rRNA from 1 species